GUUGAUGAGAAAAACAGAAAUGCACUGCUCAGGAAUGCUGUGUCUGCUCUGUUUCUGGAGAGCCCGACCACGUCCCGCCGCCAUUGUGAGUGAAGCCGUGCCGUACCGGAACUGGGACUCGGCCCCCACCUGCUGGCCGGAGGAACAUUAUCCCGCAAAACAAGGACUCGAGCAUCAACACCUGGGCCGGAGCAGCAAUCCCCGGACUGGGUCAGGGAACAUCCGGACGGGAUCAGAAAAACCUGGACUGCAGCAUCGAGACCCGGACUAGAGCAGCAGAACCCGGACUUGAGCAGGGAAACCUGGACUGGAUUUGUCUAGACAGACAUAUUACGAAGGAGAUUGAGGAGACUCACUGGGACAAAGUGAUUAUGAUGAAACAUGUGAAUACCAGGAGCCCAAAUUUAAAGCUCUGAAGAAGAGUCAUAUGGACUCGAAACGUUAACUCCACGCUAAUGGAAGUCAGGUCUGGGAGAUUCAGGCUGAGUGGACUGGCUUUCGAAGGAAACCGGGAGUUCCUGGUCUGAAAGGGAGUAAUGAACCUGCUGGAAAGCUGGUGAUAACUUAGAACUUGUUCUUGCAAAGCUACAUAUCUGCCAGGUGUGAGGCACACACCAAAAGGGGUUGUAAGGCAUAUCUUGUUUGCGUUAGACAAUGUGAAAGUACCUUUUCUUUAGCUUGAUGCAUUAGUUGCCUGUUAAGUGAUGUUUAAUUUGUGUUGAUUUUGGUUUGUUUGUUACAAUAAAAAUUUUUAAACAUGAAAA